rnacentral:lncRNA from 1 species
UUUUGUUUUAUAGAACCUAAUAGUUCAUGUUUAUAAGUUUUUUUAAACAUAUGCUUUUAAAUGAUGAUUUGUGUUUUAAUAUGGAAAUUAUUUAUAGAAUCACUUUGUCUUACCACUAAUAUUUAUUUUCACCACUAAUAUUUAUUUUCACCUGUAACCAUCCCCAUCAUUCUUCUUCUCUUCUCAGAUUGGAUGGUGGGCCAAACCAAAGGUUACCAUGGGCCAUCUUUGGCCUGCAGACCCUAUUUUGAGCAUAUCUAGUAUAUACAGAAAAGAAUUGAUCGCUGCUGAGAAGAGGCCCAGAAUGCUCUUUUAUGCUCUCCAUUGCUAUCCUCCAGAUCACAGUGAUCAUCUCUGCUCGAUGUCUUCCUUGAAGAUUGUCAAGUGUAAUGAACCACCGGUCAGCUGAUGAACUUGGACACGGAGGGACGACACCGAGCAAGAGAAGUCAAAGGUCAGAGGUCAUCACCCGGAGAUCAUGUGCAAUUUGUAAGCACUUCUUUCCUUGUUCUUAUCUGUUUCGAAAUGGAUUAAAUGUCCUCG